UUAAUGAGUCUGUUGCUGAAAAGGACAAUUCACCACAACUUGGCAGUUCCAUGGAGAAAGAUAACUUACCAUUGCCUGACAGACCUCCGAUGCAAAAAGGCCCCAACCAUCUGUGCCUGUCGAUGCUCGAAGCAAUCCGAGCAAGUGGGGCAGAUAGAAGUAGAAACAUCGCCUGGGUAAUCAUAGGGCUUUCUUUUUUCCAAAUUCUUCUGGACCUUCUUGUGGUCUUUGUUACCACCACACAUUCUCAUGAGUGGUUCCCUUUUGGUCUUCGUGCUCUUUCAGUAGGCAAGGCAUCUUUUGGAGACCCAAGAAUUUUUGUUAACGUUGCUGUAAAUGGACGGUUUCUUAUUAGUAUGCCUGUACGAGCGAUUCCUGUGCUUGAGCUUCGGCUCGUGGGCACUUACCGCCACAUCACUUGGUUGCUUAUGGGCAACAAUGACAGCUAUCACAAUCAUGUUGCUGUCCAUCCGGACUAUCAGGCUACUUGGCUAGAAGCUGUAUUUUUGUCAGGACUGCAGGGUAUGAGAUCGAUGUAUACAUGCAUGCCCUAGACUCAGGUGCCCCGGAGUGAAAUGGGAGUCGAACGGCUAGACAUGCCAUACAAUGUUGCCUUCUUUUCCGCAAUACCCUGAUUACCCAAUUCCUGAUGUACAUUCCGAUUCGUGUCUUUACUGCAGAACUUUAGCUCAUAGAGCAGAAAACUCGUAUCAUCUCUCUAUGUAUGGUGUCGAGCAAUGGAACUGCAGUGAUCUGGCAGUGUGACUGUUGACCUCCUUGACACCAUUCACGUUCGUCGCUCUGAACCCACUCAGCAGACAAGUUGGCAUAGACAUGUUUACAUCAGCAAUCUUUUCUUUGAGAUAUCUGGUGGCCUUUCGUAACCAUCGAAUUCAAGUCAUCUUUGAGUACAUGACAUCUUCUGAAGUUCGUGCCAU